GACGAACCGUACGAACGUUAUUCGGAAUCACUAGGCUUAAAGGGCUCGUAGGCGGCCAACUAAGUCAGACGUGAAAUCCCUCGGCUUAACCGGGGAACUGCGUCUGAUACUGGAUGGCUUGAGAUUGGGAGAGGGAUGCGGAAUUCCAGGUGUAGCGGUGAAAUGCGUAGAUAUCUGGAGGAACACCGGUGGCGAAGGCGGCAUCCUGGACCAACACUGACGCUGAGGAGCGAAAGCCAGGGGAGCAAACGGG
rnacentral:rRNA from 1 species